rnacentral:tRNA from 1 species
GGAGAGAUGGGUGAGUGGUUAAAACCGCUGGUCUUGAAAACCAGUGUGGGCGCAAGCCUGCCGGGGGUUCGAAUCCCUCUCUCUCCG